CCUACGGGUGGCAGCAGUGAGGAAUAUUGGUCAAUGGGCGCGCGCCUGAACCAGCCCAGUAGCGUGAAGGAUGACUGCCCUACGGGUUGUAACCUUCUUUUAUAAAGGAAUCAAGUGAGGCCCGUGUGCCUUUUUUUAUGUCCUUUAUGAAUAAGGAUCGGCUAACUCCGUGCCAGCAGCCUCGGUAAUACGGAGGAUCCGAGCGUUAUCCGGAUUUAUUGGGUUUAAAGGGAGCGUAGAUGGGUUGUUAAGUCAGUUGUGAAAGUUUGCGGCUCAACCGUAAAAUUGCAAUUGAUACUGGCAGCCUUGAGUACAGUUGAGGUAGGCGGAAUUCGUGGUGUAGCGGUGAAAUGCUUAGAGAUCACGAAGAACUCCGAUGGCGAAGGCAGCUUACUAAACUGCCACUGACAUUGAUGCUCGAAAGUGUGGGUAUCAAACAGGAUUAGAUACCCUAGUAGUC
rnacentral:rRNA from 1 species